UGGGGAAUUUUGGACAAUGGGGACGCAAGCCUGAUCCAGCCAUGCCGCGUGCGGGAAGAAGGCCUUCGGGUUGUAAACCGCUUUUGUCAGGGUAAGAAAUCUUCUGAGUUAAUACCUCGGGAGGAUGACGGUACCUGAAGAAUAAGCACCGGCUAACUACGUGCCAGCAGCCGCGGUAAUACGUAGGGGUGCAAGCGUUAAUCGGAAUUACUGGGCGUAAAGCGUGCGCAGGCGGUUUUGUAAGACAGAGGUGAAAUCCCCGGGCUCAACCUGGGAACUGCCUUUGUGACUGCAAGGCUUGAGUGCGGCAGAGGGGGGAUGGAAUUCCGCGUGUAGCAGUGAAAUGCGUAGAUAUGCGGAGGAACACCGAUGGCGAAGGCAAUCCCCUGGGCCUGCACUGACGCUCAUGCACGAAAGCGUGGGGAGCAAACAGGAUUAGAUCCCUGGUAGUCCACGCCCUAAAACGAUGUCAACUGGUUGUU
rnacentral:rRNA from 1 species